AACGAACGCUGGCGGCAGGCUUAACACAUGCAAGUCGAGCGCCCCUCACGGGGAGCGGCAGACGGGUGAGUAACGCGUGGGAAUCUACCCAACCCUGCGGAAUAGCUCCGGGAAACUGGAAUUAAUACCGCAUACGCCUACGGGGAAGAUUAUCGGGGAGUGGAUGAGCCCGCGUUGGAUUAGCUAGUUGGUGGGGUAAA
rnacentral:rRNA from 1 species